rnacentral:tRNA from 2 species
GCCGGAGUGGCGGAAUGGCAGACGCGGUGGAUUCAAAAUCCACUUCUGGAAACAGAGUGGGGGUUCAAGUCCCCCCUCCGGCA